AACGAACGCUGGCGGCAGGCUUAACACAUGCAAGUCGAGCGCCCCGCAAGGGGAGCGGCAGACGGGUGAGUAACGCGUGGGAAUCUACCCAUCUCUACGGAAUAACGCAUGGAAACGUGUGCUAAUACCGUAUACGUCCUUCGGGAGAAAGAUUUAUCGGAGAUGGAUGAGCCCGCGUUGGAUUAGCUAGUUGGUGGGGUAAAGGCCUACCAAGGCGACGAUCCAUAGCUGGUCUGAGAGGAUGAUCAGCCACACUGGGACUGAGACACGGCCCAGACUCCUACGGGAGGCAGCAGUGGGGAGUAUUGGACAGUGGGCGAAAGCCUGAUCCAGCCAUGCCGCGUGAGUGAUGAAGGCCCUAGGGUUGUAAAGCUCUUUCACCGGUGAGGAUAAUGACGGUAACCGGAGAAGAAGCCCCGGCUAACUUCGUGCCAGCCGCCGCAGUAAAAC
rnacentral:rRNA from 1 species